rnacentral:lncRNA from 1 species
CUGUAACUUCUAUGGUUUGAGAAUACUCUUCUAAUUUAUUUGACAAAAGCUCUUUUAAAAAUCAUUUUCGUAUUAGAUCAUCAAAAACUGCGUAUUAUUGAAGAAUACAAAACCUUAUUUAGAGAUGAUUCAUGUCAGGGGUAAUUAAUCCAGGAAAUUAUUCCUCCUCCUUUGAGCAAGAUGCCAAUAUUUUUUCUCCUGAUUAGACGAUUUCGUCCUCCAUGUGGCAUUUU